GAUGAACGCUGACAGAAUGCUUAACACAUGCAAGUCUUUGGCGAAGCUGUGCUUGCACAGCCUAGCCAAGGCGGACGGGUGAGUAACGCGUAAGGAACUUGCCCUGCAGUCAGGGAUAACAGACGGAAACGACUGAUAAGACCUGGUAAAGUCAGGCGGACUCAUGUCCAGCCUGAUGAAAAGAGAUGCUGCAGGAGAGCCUUGCGUCCUAUUAGCUUGUUGGUGGGGUAACGGCCCACCAAGGCGAUGAUAGGUAGCCGGCCUGAGAGGGUGGACGGCCAAAAGGGGACUGAGAUACGGCCCUUACUCCUACGGGAGGAAGCAGUGGGGAAUAUUGGACAAUGGGGGCAAACCUGAUCCAGAAAUUCUGUGUGCACGAUGAAGGUUUUCGGAGAGUAAAGGGCUUUCAGCAGGGAAGAAAAAAAUGACGGUACCUGCAGAAGAAGCGACGGCUAAAUACGUG
rnacentral:rRNA from 1 species